rnacentral:rRNA from 1 species
GACGAACCGUGCGAACGUUGUUCGGAAUCACUGGGCUUAAAGGGCGCGUAGGCGGCUGCGUAAGUCUCGGGUGAAAUCUUUCGGCUCAACCGGAAACGUGCCUGGGAUACUGCGCAGCUGGAGGGAGGUAGGGGCGGACGGAACUUCCGGUGGAGCGGUGAAAUGCGUUGAUAUCGGAAGGAACGCCGGUGGCGAAAGCGGUCCGCUGGACCUCUACUGACGCUGAGGCGCGAAAGCCAGGGGAGCAAACGGG